GGGCGGGGCCUGCAGGGGGCGGGGCCAGCGUCUAAUAAUUCACCACAUACAAACAUUUUCUCUAAACGUUUAUCUGCAUCAACCUUUUCGCCGUUUGAUUCCUGUUUUCUAAUGCUGGUGGAUUUACAGCCACAUAAGAGAGAAAUCCUUGUUUUUCAUAUGAAAUCAAAAGAUUUCCACUUUUCGAACAGUCGACAUGUUCAGAGCGUCGUUUCCUUUCCUCCACGGAACCAGGCGAACCCAGACUGGGUCCGUCCUCAUGCUUUAUAGAUCGGGUCGAUGGUCCGCAUCACUUCCUGGGUUGGAUCCCACAUCUUCACGUUGAAGCAUAAAAUAUCACGAGAUUUAAUUUAUUCUGUGCUACUGCAUACAGCAAGCAGUAACUUCGUUUCCCACAGAUUGUUUUUCUUCUGCUCAGUUUUGGAAAACUUUUUUUUUUCCUCUAAAUUAUUUAGAUACAUGCAGCCAAAACACACACACACACUUAUACAGAGGCGUUUAUGGAUCCAUAAAGAUCCAGAGUCAAGUUUUAUUCUUUGUGCGAAGCCUUGGAGCUUUUCACCGAACGACGUUUCUUCUGCUGUGGAUUCGGCCCACAGUGGAGACGAAGCCGACUUUGCUGAAGGCAUCGAUCCACUGCAAGGCAUGUAAGUACAUGGAUAUAAAAUAUUUAUUUACUUUUGAGAGAAAGAUGCAUAUAUACAUAUAUGUGUAUAACAUGUGAUUGUUUUAUGUCAUUACUUUCUGACUGAUCUGUAACUUCUGUGUCGGUGCUGGUGACGAUGUGGAGGAGACGGAGGAUGAGGAGAACAAGGAUGAAGAUGCUCUUGUACCUUCUGUUGAGGAUGGAGGGACCAACAGUCUGCAGAGUCCUUCAUCCAGCAGCAGAAAGGUCACCAGGUCAGACGUCCACUCGGGUCAGGAAGUCGGCUGGAGGACGGAGCAGGAAUCGGACCGGUUGCCUCGUCCUGCGCCGCCUUUCCUCCCCAACAGGAGGCCCGGUGUGCAGCCUCCACUGUCACAUGCUGACCGUGGUCCAAGUCCAGCAGAGCUUUUCAAGCUGUAUUUCCACCAGGCUGCCAUCAGAACUCUCUCUGUCAACACCAACAAAAAUGCAGCAAAACGUUUAUCUGCCUGUAAAAGCCGUAACUAGACCGACGUCUCGGAAGGGGAAAUGUAUCAGUACAUCGGGCUGCUGAUGUACACGCGGCUUCUGAAACGACCAAAAAUCAGAUUUCUGGAGAACCGGCACAAUGUUUCAGCUCUCGCAUCCGUCCAGAGGAAUGUCCAGAGAUCGGUUCCUGAGCAUCCGGGCCAACCUUCACCUGAGUGACCCGGAGGACGAUGCCGUCAACGACAGAAGGAAAGGCAGCCCCGAGUACGACUGCCUGCACAGGCUCCGCCCCCUCUACGACAGCGUGCGGGUUGCCUGCAGAGCCUCUGUGUUGAUGAGCCACCAAAGCACAGCCUGGCCUCAGGCAGCGUAGAAAAAGCAAACGGCAUCAUGGGGGAUCAAACUGUUUGUGCUGUGUGACUCCAGCGGCUACACGUGGACUUCCAGGUUUACACCGGCGGCUCCAGUCCGGCGUCUGGAGGCGGGCUGUCCUUCGAUGCCGUCAUGUCUCUGUCCAAUAAGGCCUUCCUGGGAUCUGGGUAUCACGUUUACUGUGACGGCUGUUACAGCAGCCCGGCGCUGUUCAGUCGCCUCCAUGAUCUGGGCUCCGGAGCCUGUGGGACGUUCAGAGACACCAGAGUCGGUGUUCCAAACACCAAGAUGGACGCCCUGACCAAACAGUCGCCUCGCGGCUCCAUCAGAUGGAUCAAGAGAGGGGCCUCUGCUGCUCAUCAGGUGGAUGGACGUGAGGCAGGUCAGUGUGUGCUCCACCCUGCACACGGCCUGUUCAGGAGACGCCGUCAGACGGGUCAGCAGGGCUGGACGAAAGCAUGGAGUUCUGGAGGUUCCAGUGCCGGCGGCUGUCAAAGACUACAACCGCUUCACGUGGGCCGGUCGGACCAGCUGACCGGCUCCGCCUCCUGGCCAUUGACGGUCCUGCAGCAUCUGGUUGAUGUGGCCGUUAGAAACGGCUUCCUGCUCCACAGGGAGCCGAGUGGCCAGCGGGGGCAGCAGGUCCUGAUGCUGCAGGCCUUUCAGGAGCAGCUGACCGCCCAGCUGUGUGGCGAAGGCCCACCGCCAGCCCCGACCAGCAGCAACCUGCACCACCUGCCUGGGGGCGUCUGGUCAGAACAAGGCCACCAGGGGGCGCCGCAGGUGCAGAGUGUGCUCCAAAUCCACUCGGUUCAUGUGUGAGGCCUGCAGACGCCUCUGUGCGUCAUCCUGGACAGGAACGGCCACCAGCAGCAGCAACAAGUGAUUCAACACUAACUUUUAUUUCACGUUGUUGCAUUUUGUCACAUUUCUGCAACUGAAACGUUUUGCAAACUCAAAAUAAAUGUUUUGUGGUUCAGAAGGUUUGUGUGUAAGUUUGUUGACAAUUUUAAGGGAUAAAAUUUUUAUAUUUACAAAAAUGUUCUAAGAAAAUCGAAACAAAUUUGUGUUUUUUGUUGCAUUUUAUUUGGUUGCUAUUGAUUAUUAACAUACAGAUUUUGAACAAUAAGGAUGAGGAUUGUAUUAAAAACGGCUCUGCAGCAUCAGACACGAGACAAUAAGGAUUAAUAUAUGAAUAAAAGUAUAAAUAUUCCCUUUGAUCAGCCAGGUGACCUUUGACCUGUCAGUCAGGUGGCUUAACGUCUGGUUAACAAACCUGUCCUUAAUUAAUCCUAAUUUACAGGAAGCAGCCGCUGCUGCUCCCAUUAAUACAUAUUAAUGUAAAUUAGUAUAAAUACCUGGAAGUCUGCCGCCAGGUGAAGCGGUAACCAUGGCAACGGCCCUGUUGGUAGCAGUAUGAGUAUUAUAAUAUAUUUAAAAUGUGCUUUCAGGGCUCAUGAUGUCACCUCAGGAAUAAAAAUACAUUUUAAUCUGAUCUGUGAUCAGAGCUCCUCAGGUAGCGGCUCACCUGGACCAGCUGCAGCCAUGCAGGAUUCUGUCCACACCUUAAAUAAUCAACCUGUUUUCUUCCGUCAGAGUUAAAUGAGCUCACAGAUCAAAGAGUUACAACUUUACGAGACACAAACUGAGGGACAGUUUUACUUAAUGCUAUGCAGGUCUCACUCUGCAGGGGAUCCAUGAGCAGCAGCAGCUACCGGUUCAGGAUGAAGGUUGAACAAUAAGCAUUUAAUGUACGACACGUUCAGCUGGUUGGUGCCGACUGCGAGUUCGUAAUUUCCUUCGCCCGUUUGAAAGGGCGGCGCGUGUUGAGCAGUCGGCUCACAGCACCGCCUGCUCCCAUGUUUUCAUUUAUUUCAUUUUCCUUCUGAAUAAUAUCCAAUCCUCCAGGCUCAUUUCUGUAGGUCUUCAUCUGUUGAUUCUUAGGAUCUCUGCACUGUCCAACAGUAAGUAGCGGUUCUUACUUAAAAUCCCUCAAUAUCUAUAUAUAUACAUGUCUGCAUCUCAUACUGAAGUACAGAGUCGGUGUAAAACUGUAAGCAGGAACCAAACUGUUUGAAUGGUUCAGGAAACUAACAGAUUUUAUUGUUUUUCUUUUUGUCUUGCUGUAGAUUUAAUCUGUGAUGCUGCAGCUGAGGCGGCUGGAGACCCAGCAGCCAAUCAGACGUCGGCUGGACCGAACCGGCCAGCAGCUGCUGGUGGACAGACUGGGACCAGCGCCGCUCCAGGGACUUUCAGGUCCGUGGAAAAGAGGCAGAGAGCCCGGAAACUGCGCAGCAGACUGUCGUUAGUCCAUGGAUUAAUCUCAGAGUCUCUGCUGCUGUUGGGAAAAACUCCAGGAAGACGUUCAGCGCGCAGAAGAAGCGCCGUCCGCCAUCCUGACGGUUUAGGCCAAACUAAGGCCACUGUGCUGCUUCAUGCGACUCGGACUCUGUUACACAGCGUCACCUCUGACCUGAAGGUCAUUUCUAGGGAUUCGUGUGACUCUUCCUGCUAACUCUGAGGUGUGGGAGACCAAGAGGGCAGAGUUGAUUCAGAUGAAAUGAGAAAUGUAGAAGAAUUAAGAGAAAUCUCUGAUGCUGCUCAGAUUAUUUUAGACCAACUGAAAGGCCUCUUUGUGGGAAUCAACCUCCAGCUUCUGCUGAUGGUCAAGAAGAUGCAUUAAAUGAAAACUAGACCAGGGAAUUACCUCAGGGAUUUAACUGAUGGGCUGGGAGGCUCAACUCAGGAACCAAAAAACUGCUGAACCAAGCAGAAAACAAAAAGAGGUGAUCUGACAGCGUCAGGAGCUCCAGCAAAUGGGACGAAGAGGCUUCCUGUUACAAUACGCUGCAUUUCUUACGUUUUGCUUUGUGUGAUAAGGGAAGGCGUUUUCCUGAUGGAUCAACUCUACCUUUUGGUUAUUAGGUUUAAGAGAGAAACAAAAGAAAAACCUCAUUCCGGAGAUUUGAUUAGAUUUAGAUUGAAGAAACCUGUCUGAUGUGUGACUGUGGGACCAAGUGGGUCUGGGAAAACUGUCAUCAUGUUUUACAGGAUGUAACCAUGAACUGUGACGGAUAACGUUGUUUGGAUUUAUACUCUUUUUCAUCAUAUGUAUCCUGAAUUGUAGAAAAUGAAUAAAAAUAUAGAAUCUGUUGAA